CCGUGGUCUGAGCCCUGUGUACAGAACCCACGCACGGGCAGGGAGAGGCACCUGGAGUGUGCAGGGGGCACCUCUGGAGCAGGGCUGGCUGACUGUGUUCAGUUCAGUCAGUGCUCAGUCCCCACUCUGCGUGCAGUGUAUUCACCAGGCCCGGGCAGAACCUCUGGAGCAUCUGUGUGGCGUCACUGGCCUCCUCCAGGGGCCUGAGCCCCAGCCCAGCCCACCCCAGACUCUGAAGUACUCUGCGGAGGUCCUCGUGCCGUAUCAGGAAGGAAGAACACUUUCGCCCCUGACCCCACCCUAGGCCUCUCUGGGAAGCUCAUCUCUCCCCACUGCCAUCUGCGGGCUUCCUGAGCCACAGCCCACAGCCCCCGCACCUCAAAGCAUUAAUCUAACAAAGUAGUUAAUGCCUGCCCCAGCGCUUGGCAGCUCUUUGAACACGGACAAGGUACUUGACCUCUCUGGACCUCAUUUAUCUCACGGAUAAAAUAGAAAUAAUGAUAGUCCUUAGCUCAGAGGGUCAUUGUGGGGAUCAAAUGAGAUCAUGCAGGGGCUGGCACAGGCAGGAGAGGGCAUCCCUGGUACUAUCUGUGGGUAUCCCUCUCUAACCUGCUGCUGCUCCUUUGCUCCUCAUCUCCAGCUCCCUAAACCCAGGCUUGUCACCUUCCUAAAACCUCUGCGGUCUGAGCCGGGGGAGCCGGUCAGGUCCUGCUCCCAGGUGAAAGGCAGAGAAGGAUGUGUGUCUGAGCAUCCUGCAUCCCUGGUCAUAAAGCUAGAAGGACUCCUCCAGGCACACAGGAUGCUCUCACUUUGGUCACCAUCCACACUCUUAAAUCAAGGGAGUUUCAAGAAUCAGUAUUUCUGUGGUAGAAGCCAAAGCAAAGAAACAGAGAGGGUGAGAGAAUAACCGAAGGCCACACAGCAAGCUCAGACCAAAGUCAGGUGAGGGCCCCAGUGGACCUGCACCCAGCUCUCCUCCCCACCUAACUCAAAAGCUUUCUUUUCUUCAGAAGCCUCGGUGGAAGCCUCCUUCUGGAGCUUUUCUGUUCAGAGAAAGCAGCAAACAAAGUGGAGCCAGCCCCCUGGGCCUGGAGCCCUGAGCUCCCCAGGCCGACCCACAGACUGACGGAGACGUUACCGGAGCUGAUGAUUCAACUUCCUGCCUUUUGAGAGCGCCCAGACCACAGAGGUUUUCUCGCUUGGAGGAGGGGGCAUCUCCCUGCUAGGGCCAAGCAGGGUGGGACAGGCCCCACCACAAACAGCAAGGACCAGGCAGUGCAUGGGGCAGGCCCUAGGGGCUGCUCUGGAACCCCGGCCAGCUCCUUCCUAAGGCCUGGCUCUUUGGGUAACUGAUUACUACCUAGGGUGACCAAAUGUCCUGAUUUGCCUGAGACUGUCCUGGUUUUAGCACCUGAAACCCCACAUGCUGGGAAACACCUCAGUUCUGGGCAAACCAGAAGGUUUGGUCACUUAAUUACCACCCAUAUUUCUAGAGGACAUGACUGCCUCAGCGACUCUGGGGGUCCAGGCCCCAGGACAGCACGUUUUAGAAUAGGGAAUAGGUACACUAUGUGCAGGUUUUUAUUUUGUAUUAAUUUUUUUGGCUGUACCUGUAGCACGUGGAAGUUCCUAGGCUAGGGCUCGAACCCCGGCCACUGCAGGGAUGACACUGGAUUGUUAACUGCUAGGCCUUUAGGGAGCUCAGGAAUUGGCAAACUGUGGCCUGAGGGCCUGAUCUGGCUCUCUGCCUAUUUUGUACAGCUCAGAAGCUAAGAAUAGCUUUUAUAUUUUUUAAUGGUUGAAAACAAAAUUAAAGAAGAAUAAUAUUUCAUGAGAAGUGGAAAUUACAUGAACUUCAGAUUUGGGUGUUCAUAAACAAAAGAGCACAGCCAUGCCCAUUCAUUUACAUAUUGUUUCUGGCUGCUUUCACAUCACAGGCAAUGAACUUGUAUCGAGACUGCACAGAACCAUGGACCACAAAGCCUAAAAUAUUUACUGCCUGACCCUGUACACAAAGUUUGCUGGCCCCUGUUUGAGAGGUCUUCCAUCCCUGGAACGACAGAGCCGACGACAUCUCUGGAAGAAGCGCCCCUUAAUAUCUUCCUUGGGAAAGAAGACGGCUCCCUUCAAGUUCGGGUCAUGCUUUUCACACGUUGAAGGUGAAUAAAUUGAGGCUUAGAGCCCGGCCUCAGCCCAUGCAAUGGGACCGUUUCUGCAUUGAGACCAGAACCCUGGACUUAGUGAAGCAGACCUACAACUGCAGGUGGGAGCCCAGGCGAGGAAGAAGUUUCUCAUAAGUAGAGCUGCCUCAUCUGGUAGGAAGCCCCCUGUUGCUGGAGGUAUGCAAGCAGAUCUGGGGAGAUGGAGGGAGAGGCCAGGCAAAGCAAUUCCAGUUCCCUUCUUUGCCACAGAUUACACAGGUUAUCAUCUGUCCAACUCGGAGUCCUCUUUGUCCACACAGAAGGGUCAGGGUAACACACAGCUCCUGGUGCUGCGGCUUCAAACCCUCCCCAGUCUCUUUACCAUCCUGCUUGUUUCUGGUCCAACUGCUGCUAGUCCUAUGUUCCAGAGAAAAGUCAUGGCAUUUACUGGCCUCCGUCACUUUAAUGAAAAAGCCCCUACACCAAACAAAUACAAGCACAGACAUUUGCAACUAAUUAUGGUAUUGCUGAUCAGUCAAAUUUCAUUGCAAAUUGCAUGUUGAAAUUGAUAGUGGGCGAGUCAUGAAUAAACUGGUUGUCUGGAAAAGUGACACGGGCACACAGGACUAGGUUAAUAAUUCAAUUUGGGCUCAGCCAGACACUCUGAAGAAGAGGAAGAAGCAGAUUAGCGGUGCCCCAAGACUGCUUGUUUUCCCGGGUACCUCUUGCCAGUGCGCCUUCUAAGGGAAGCUGAGCCUCCUUUAGGAUCCUCCCACUUUGGGAGACCGCAGGGCACUGAGUAUUCCAGCCUUUAAUUCUUGGUUUGCAAAAUUGCAGCCUUGAGUGAUGUGGGGAGGGGAAGACGGCCUUACAUCCCAUCCCCUUUGCUGCUAAGAAGCCCACUGAGGAGGCUUCCUGGAGACUGCCGCCUCCUGCUGCAGUGAAGACUGCUCGUGGCCUCCCAUCUGUGGGUACUGGGCUGGGAAAGCCCACAGGGGUUCCCCAGGUCAGGUCUGGCUCCAGAGAAGGUGGAAAAGGAGCCAGAGGGGCCUUAGAGAGCUCCCCACUUGCCCUGGUCCCCGUGGCGGCCCACAGAACUAUGAAGCCCAAAAGUAAGACAAUGCAUCGAGGCCACAAGAUAGACGGGCAGUGUCCUCAGAAUUGGGCCUUCCUGGAGGGUCGCUGUGCCCCUGCACCUGGGGAGGAAGGCAGGAUGGAGACACAGAGCAGGCAGAGUGCACAGAUGUCAGGGGCAAGUAAGAUGCAGUCACAGUGGCCACGUUGAUCCACCCUGGAGUACUUCCCCGUGAGCUGCUCGGCCACUCUAACUGCCCUGGCUCUAAAGGCCUGUGCGGAGGCAAAGUCUUAAUUUUUGCCCUCUAGAUUGGAGUUUAAAACUCAAAUGUCUACAUGGAUGUGGGUGCGCUCUAGACUGGGCAGGCCUGGUAAGCUUGGGCCUGCCUCGGGGGGAGCAGCCAUGCUUUGGCUUCAGGAGACUGUCUAGAGACAAUAUGAGCUGGAAUCCAGAAAAAGAUUUAGGCCAGGGAUAUAAAUUUGGAAGUUGUCAACAACUGAAUUAUAUUUAAAGCCACUCUGGGGGAGAUUAACAACAGAGUGAGUGGAGAUGCGAGGUCCAGGGACUGAACCUUAGAGAGGAACAAGUGCCAGCAAGAGGGCCCGUGAAGGAGCAAUCAGCCAGGCAGGAGGGAAACCAGGAGAGGGAGGCGAGGGCGCCGAGCAGGGAGAGAUGAACGCCUACACUCUAGAAAAGAGGCAAGGGAAGCUAGCCUUGAGAUUUAACAUGGAGACUCCUUGACAGGGGUAUCUUGCCGUCGUGCUGGAGGCUGAGGGGAGUGCACGGGAGAAAGGAAGGAAGGAGAGGACGUGAAGGCAGCAGAACCUUCAGAAGUUUUCCCAUAAAUAAGAGCAGAGAAAUCGGAGGACAGUUUGAGGGGUAUACAAGGCCAAGAGGAGGUUUUUCUUUAAGAGAGAAAAAUUGCAGUAUUUUUGGGUGUGGAUGGGAAUAAACCUGGAGAGAGGGGAAUUUUGAUGAUGCAGGUGAGAAGGGGGAUAAAAGUUGGAGUGAAGUCUUUGAGUAAACAGGUGGAGAUGGCAUCUGGUGCCCCAAAAAGGAAGAUGUCCUUAAACAGGAGCACGGAAGGUUCCCCCAUAUUAGUGAAAUGGAAGGCAGAGUCACUGAGCACAGAUGCAGGUGGGUGGAGGAAGUAGUGGUGGAGCCCAUGGAACGUCUCUUCUAUUUUCUUAGCAAACUAGGAAGAGGUUGUCAGCUGAGAGUGAGGUGGAGGAGGAGGUGUGAAGCGAUCGGUGUGAAGCCAUCGGCGGGAGGGAGGGUGUGAGUAGACUUGGGGAUGGAGUAUGACGGCUGGGCAGUGUUUAGGUCUCACUUAGGGAGGGUUAUGGUCAUUAAUUUAAGGUGAGGCAGCAUAACAAAGAAGAAACAGACUCACAGACACAGAGAAUAAACUAGAGGUUACCAAUGGGAAGAGGGCGUGGGAGGUACAAAGUAUUCGGUGUAAGACAGGCUCAAGGAUGUAUUAUUGUACCACAUUGGGAACAUAGGAAGUAUUUUGUAAUAAGUGUAAAUGAAAAGUUAUAUAAAAAUUUUAAAAAUAAUAAUUCU
rnacentral:lncRNA from 1 species